GUGAGGAAUUUUGCGCAAUGGGGGAAACCCUGACGCAGCAACGCCGCGUGAGUGAAGAAGGCCUUCGGGUCGUAAAGCUCUGUCAAGUGGGAAAAAAGUUCUGUAGUGAAUAGCUGCAGAAUUUGAUGGUACUACUAAAGGAAGCACCGGCUAACUCCGUGCCAGCAGCCGCGGUAAUACGGAGGGUGCAAGCGUUGUUCGGAAUUACUGGGCGUAAAGGGCGCGUAGGCGGCUCGGUAAGUCAGAUGUGAAAGCCCUGGGCUCAACCCAGGAAGUGCAUUUGAAACUGCCGGGCUUGAGUAUGGGAGAGGAGAGUGGAAUUCCCGGUGUAGAGGUGAAAUUCGUAGAUAUCGGGAGGAACACCCGUGGCGAAGGCGACUCUCUGGACCAAUACUGACGCUGAGGCGCGAAAGCGUGGGGAGCAAACAGGAUUAGAUACCCCAGUAGUCC
rnacentral:rRNA from 1 species